GGGUAAUCAGGCCAGGUCUUUGCUGACUGUUUUUCCAAAACCCCGAUCACUGAUCAUGCCUCUGCUCUCCUUACUUCCAGGAUCCUGCCCUGAGCCAUUUCCAGGCUUACCUGCUCCAGUGGUUGGUUACCUCAGUCCCUGGAUUCCCAGAGAAGUCCUCCUUUGACCAGAGUGUCGGGUCUCCCCACUGCUCCUCCAAGAGGUUAGCCAAUCUGCAGCUGUAUUACCAUCCACUUACCUGCUUGUCCACCCUCUGCAUGCUGGUGGCUCUUCCAUCUGCCUUCACCCUUGAAAAGACAAACAGAAGAGCUUCCUCUCAAACCUCCAAGCACCCAAUCCAAGCUGAACCCCCCGGAUCUUCUUUCUCAUCGGCAAACCCACUACGGCCGAGCUAUCAAAAACCAUGAGAGAGGCUGGUUGAUGACUACAAGAAGCGCUUCGGAAGUGUCGGGCUAACGCUGCAAUGGACUGGCGACCUGUCCAGGGUGUACCUCGCCUCUCGCCCAUAGACUGCUGGAGAUAGGCACCAGCUUCCCCGUGACCCACUAUGGAAUAAGCGGUAGAAAAUGACUGACUGUCAGGCUAACGCUAGCAUGUUCAUGUUUUUGUUUUGAUAUGUCAUUUCUGUGGCAGUUACGUAGUGAGAUCUGGAGCAUGUUGAGCAGUGGCAGACACUGUUCAAAACAAUUGUUCUACUGAGUAUUUAUAUGAGAACACCUGAGAAGCAGCCAUACAGUCUGACUGGAACGAAUACACUACUGGGCAUUACAGUACUUAUUGUUUGCUAAUAGUAAUAUGCACACAAACCCCACAUCAAUCAUAACUAUUUGACAAAAAUAUAAUAAAUUAUUUUGUCAAAUUUUAUGUCAUGAAAUAAUAUUAAAAGCAAUGUAUUCCCUUACACCACUCAGCAGUUACAGAAACAUCCUAUAAAGCUGUUUUAGAAAAAGGAGACAGCACAGAGAAGGAGAUGGUUAAGACAUAGAAAGAACUCAUGCCAUCUAUAUUUAUCUUCUUGAUAUCAGUUCUACACUGAACUUGUAUCCAUUAAAACAUGAUUUAUGAUUUGUAAAACCUUUCAUUCUGUUUUUGAAAAUAUAAAGAGGGCCUGUCCAGUUUAGCUUCAGCCUUUUUGCAGCUUGCAUGCUUCACUUCAUCUAAUCUGGUCUCCAUGCUGAAUAAAGCACUUAAGUUGUCUCUUUUUGUUUCAAAUAUAUUAUAAAGUUAUGUAUUUUUGUAUUAUUAUUAACAGUGGUUUUGGCCAGAAAAGGACUAAUUGAGAUCAAAUAUAUUUUUUGCAAGAGCAUCCUGGCCAAGACACGCAUCAGUAAAAGUAAAACAAUUUCAAAACAUUUGAUUUGUAACAAUUAAGAUGCCCUUUCACUAGCAGCAUCAUUGAAAAGGGUCAAUAACACUUAGGUUAUUUCAAAAUACCCAGAUUUGAUUUAAUUGAAUUAUGCAUAUGGCCUACAGUACAGUUUUGCAAACCACUUGCCCAGUGUUUUAUUUCAUAUUAAAUGUCCUGGGGUGCAGCUGCAGAAUUAGAGAAGGUGCACCAACAGCUGGUAAAGGGAGCUGAAUUUUGUUGGGGACUGAUACCAAUCACUUGUAAAAAAAAAAAAAAUAAUUGGAAUUACUGCUUGUGUUUUAAAAUGUUUUAAUCAUAUCUUUCUGACA